UACGUAGGGAGCAAGCGUUGUCCGGAAUCACUGGGCUUAAAGCGCGUGUAGGCGGCCCGGCGCGUCGGAUGCUGAAAUCCCCCGGCUCAACCGGGGAAGGGGAGCCGAUACGGCCGGGCUGGAGGGGGGUAGGGGGCGCUGGAACUCACGGUGGAGCGGUGAAAUGCGUUGAGAUCGUGAGGAACGCCCGCGGCGAAAGCGAGCGCCUGGACCCUUUCUGACGCUGAGACGCGAAAGCCAGGGGAGCGAACGGG
rnacentral:rRNA from 1 species